UCAUCAGUUUAACUGGGUUGUGUGUUUGGUUCUGGUUCUGGUUUGUGUAGAUGCAGUACCUGCAGGAGCUGCGCUCUGUGGUUCCGCCUGCAGGUGAGAUGGAGCUGCAGGUGAUUGAGGAGUACCUGCAGGAACAUUCAGGAGAAGAAACCAGAUCUCAGAACCGCACCGACGGGGAGAUCCUCAUCGCAGAGAAUGGUUGGUGGGGGCGUUUUGCGUACGAGUGGCAGUACGGAUGCUCGGCCCGGGCGGACGACCCGGUGGAUCAGCAUCACUGGCCCAGUAACUAUAGCAACACCGAGUGGGGUGGGCACUGCAUGUAUGAAGCUCCGCCCCCUAGUGACUCGGACUCCCACUGCAGCUCGGUCUGCCCAGAGUUCCCCCCGUCGCCCCCUACAGUCAGCGGAAGAACUGCAGCCUGGGAAACGCUGCCCAUCACACCACUGACCGGUACUGAGCUCUCAUUCACAUCCAGCUUAUUCAUCUGAUUACGAAGAAAAUACUGUAGUGUUUA
rnacentral:lncRNA from 1 species